UGGUUCUGGCAUCGAUGAAGAACGCAGCGAAAUGCGAUAAGUAAUGUGAAUUGCAGAAUUCAGUGAAUCAUCGAAUUUUUGAACGCAUAUUGCGCCCUUUGGUAUUCCGAAGGGCAUGCCUGUUCGAGCGUCAUGACACCCCUCAAGCCUAGCUUGCUGUUGGGCCCGCCGGCGACGGCCAGCCUUAAAGUUAGUGACGGUUACCCCUAACCUCAGGCGCACAGAUGCUGCUAUGACGGGAAGGGGCGAUCAGUAUCUCAAUCGUUUGACCUCGGAUCAGGUAGGAAUACCCGCUGA
rnacentral:misc_RNA from 1 species